rnacentral:rRNA from 1 species
AGUGAACGCUGGCGGUAGGCCUAACACAUGCAAGUCGAACGGCAGCACAGAGGAGCUUGCUCCUUGGGUGGCGAGUGGCGGACGGGUGAGUAAUGCCUAGGAAUCUGCCUGGUAGUGGGGGAUAACGCUCGGAACCGGACGCUAAUACCGCAUACGUCCUACGGGAGAAAGCAGGGGACCUUCGGGCCUUGCGCUAUCAG